rnacentral:rRNA from 1 species
UACAGAGGGCUCAAGCGUUGUUCGGAUUCAUUGGGCGUAAAGGGCGCGUAGGCGGCGCGGUAAGUCGGGGGUGAAAUCUCGGAGCUUAACUCCGGAACUGCAUUCGAUACUGCCGUGCUUGAGGACUGGAGAGGAGACUGGAAUUUACGGUGUAGCGGUGAAAUGCGUAGAUAUCGUAAGGAAGACCAGUGGCGAAGGCGGGUCUCUGGACAGUUCCUGACGCUGAGGCACGAAAGUCAGGGGAGCAAACGGG